CUAGUCGAUUGCUUUUGUUUUGAAUGCAUGGGGGUACUAGACACAUUGUGAAUGGGAUAUCUCAGCGGUGAAAUGACGGAUUCGAAAAAUUCCUUCGCUGUUUGACGGGCCAAAUGAACAGUUUGUGGUACAGCUGGCAAAUCGGCCCUUCUUGAUCAUGCGUGGUAAAUGUGGCUAUGCUGGUAAAUCUAUCCACCAUGCUGUUUUGCAGUGCAACUUGACCCCAGUAUGGCUGCCAUCUUAGGUCACAGGUCAAAGUGAAGGGUGUCGUUGAAUUUGGCCUACGAAGUUGCCAUUACAAAUGCUUAUUUUCUAAAAAAAAAAAAAACAUUUUUUAAAGUUCCUCUUCCUCAGGGGACAGAAUCCUAAACAAGAGUGCAUCACGCAACACUUGUUGGUUUUAUGUCAGUAUUUUAGAAACCAUUACUGUUACUUUAAUAAUAGAAAAAUGACUUACAAGCACUGUGACAGAGAUCACAUGAUUCUUGGUGUUAGAUCUCCCCCUGACCUGUGAGGGCGCUGUGUACAGGGAACAGAGUAACUUGGACUAGUUGGCCCGACAAUUCAUUCCCAGGGUUCGGCAGAAGUCGGCCAUCUAGAAAGGGGACGGAGCUAAACCAUUAACACAGAAGGUUAACGGCAUGGCAUCCACGGAUUGGAGGAGUGGAUGUGCUAGUUAACCAAGGGGUCACGGUUGACAGUAUAAAAAGGGGACGUUGUGAUGCGAUCUGUCUAUCUGUCUAAAGUCUACUGUUUGAAUUGUUUGUUAGAUUAGAUGGCUAACACGAUCUGGAGCUGUCGCCCACGGCCAGCACAAAAACUCGGACAACAGAGCAAAAAGAAAUGUAUUUUCACCACCCGCACUGCAGCACUCACUGGGAGAGGUGACCGUGAUGUGUUUAAUGUUUAGACUUUGUUAUUGUUUACGGGACUGCAAACCUUCAUAAUUCCCUGUGCAAUACACAUCGCUGUGUAUUGCCAGCUGCGUAUUGCCAGCUGCGUAUUGCCAGCUGCGUAUUGCCUGUCCUUCUAUUUGUUUUCUGUUUGGUCAUCAGACCCCUGGAUUAAAAUAAACUAAUUUUCACCCAUA